rnacentral:lncRNA from 1 species
UAGGAGGUCACGGUUCAAGCCGUGAAAUAAUCUUUUGAAGAAAUGUAAAUUAAGAUUGCAUAUAAUAGACCCUUAUGGUUCAGCCAUUCUCGAAACUCUGCAUAUCGUGAUCACUUUAAUGCACCAAACUACCUUUUUUUAAAAUCUAUAUAUUACUUUUGUCCUAGUCCCGAUAAAUGUUUUAGCUUAGUGAUUAAAGCACACCAUGUAAUGUAUGAGUUAGAUUCAUGUCAUAAUGAUCAAAUUGAAGUUAACUGGAUUCCAUGUUUCCUGCACAACCAUAUGUGGUGUGAGCAGGAGAAAAAAAGGUCAGUUCUUCUUUUUUUUCUUUUGACUUGUUUGCUGAAUUCCUGCAAAAAUUGUAUAAGUCGACAGGUAAAUGCAUUAUAUGAGAGGGAAAACAAUUGUGGAUAAGAAUUGAAGAAAUGAUGUAUAAUAGUUUAAUUAAUAGUGGAAAUAGGAGAGAAGAAAAAAAGGGUAUGUACGUACAUCAGGAAAGUGCAGGGGUCACUAGCACGAAGGACCACAGUGUCAUCCAAUUGCACAUGAAAGCAACCAUGCACUAAUGUAUACUAUUAAUAUACACGGGGUCGUUUGGUAAGUCGUAUUAGAAAAAAUAAUUCAUGUAUUAAGUGUGAUAUUAAUUAAUAUUAUAUUUGAUAGGAUUUUGAAUCAAUAUAUUACUAAUAGCAUGUAUUAUUAUAGGGUGUAUUACUAAUACAUCACAUAUGGUGGUAUUAGUAAUACAUGAGUUUUAAUAUCAUGAGAUUAGUAUGUAUAAAGACAAGAAUAUCCCUCAAAUUCUUUUAAAUAUUUUUUUAUUUUCUUAAUUUUUUCAAUUUAUUCAAUAUGAGUUACUUCUUUUCAAUUUAUCAAAAUAAUAAUAUCCCUCCAAAUAAUUUUAGUUAAAAAAAACUACUCCAUUAACUCAAAAAAAUAUUUAUUGGUCAAAAUCCGAAAACAAAUUACAUACAAGCUUUAAUUUUGUAAAUAAGAUAUCCAUAAAUUAAAAUAAUUUUUCUAUUUAGUUUAACACUAUAAAAUAUAAUUUCAUUUUAAUAAUAAUUUUAUUAUCUCAUUCAAAAGUUAUAUGUACCUCCCUCCAACUUAAAAACAACACAGAGUGGGAACAACAAACAAAUGAUGAACAAACAAAGAAAAGAUAAUAAAAAAAUAAUUUUUGUAAGUGAAUGAUUAAAUCUUAAAAUUCUAAAGUAAAUAAUUAGUUAUAUUGUUAACUUUUUUAUUUUAAAAAAAGAAUAAUAAACUUUUGCAAAAAAAUACACAAAGUUAUAAUAUGUCGAGGGUAUUUUUGUAAAUAAACAAUAUUCUUUUUAAAAUAUAACAAUACAUAUUGCUUUUAAUUAAUACAUCAAAUCAAACACGACAUAAAAAAUAAUUUCAGUAUUACUAAUCUCUGUACUACUAAUCUCAAUAUUAUCUUAUAUACUCUACCAAAUGAGUCCUAUAUUUAUUUUAGCACUAAUGUAUAUUUAUUAAUACAAAAAAUCCUUGUACGUUUGAAGGAAAUUUCUCCAUAAUUUGUCAUAGAAUCUCGAAAUCUUAGUCGUGCGUCACUUGGUGAUUAAAGAAAUUUCCCAUACAAUUUGCAAUGUACUAUGCAGCUAGAUGAAUCAAUAGUACCAAAGGUUUAAAAAAUCCAUUUAUAACUUGCUAAUAAGUUUUUCUUCCCCUUGCUUAUCAGUUAGAAGAGAAAUUAGUUCAAAGUAAAAUAUAAUUAUUAAUGAUUCUAUUAUUUGAUGGGAAACAUGGAAAUUGAUUUUCACUAAAGUCUUCAGAAUAUGAAGAAGUAAACACACAAGAAGCCAAAUACAGUUUAGCAUCAGGGAUAGACCUAAUUGCAAAUAUUUAGUGCUCCAAAACCCAUUAAAUCCAUUAAUCACCUUAAUUUGUGAUUAAUAUAAUGCUCCUCUUCAAAUUAUAUCAUACUCACAAUGGGAGUACGAAUAAACUUCUUUUUUUUAAGAAUUUAAGUUUGAUGCAUCGUUGAUGUAUUUUUUUUUUUUACACCAUCAGGUACUUCUUACCUGUUGUAGCAGGUCAUUCAUUUCUCAUGCAAAAAUGUAAAAAUGGUAAAAGUCACUUGAUGGUGUAAAAAAAAAAGUACACUGAUGAUGCACCAAAUUUAAACUUUUUCUAGCAGUUUUUUUUUUUUUAUGCGCGCAUGUUUUUGAUGACUGGACUUUACAAUUUUUAAGUUGAAAGUGAAUGAUGUUCACUAUCUAAGCAACGUUCUCUCGAGUAUGAACGGAUGAUAAAAUUGAGCAAUUCCGAAAAUGUAGAGAGACAAAGUUGAAUUUGUUUACCUAAAUCUAAUAUGUUUACCACUAAUCUUAAAACUAAUUAACUAAACUUGGCACCUAAUUUAUAACACGAGGAAUUAAAACUCGUAAUUUUCUCGUCACGUUGAGUUGUCUCCUCUCUUGCCUACCUUCAUUUGCACUGUACUCCUUAUAUCAACUCUUCACACUCUCUCAACUUCUCGCCCCUCCCCCUUCUCCUACUCUCUUUCUCUCUCUAAACCACCAUCUCCUCUUAUUAGAGAGAGAAAAGAGUACCUUAUACUUACCACUUAUAACUCGUCUCUAUAAUUUUCUGUGUUAUCGUAGGCUAGCUAGAGCUUCUUCUACAAUAAUAAUAAUAAUAACAAUGGAUGUCUACGGAGUAUCUGCACCCGACUUGUUUCGUAUUGAUGAUCUUCUCGAUUUCUCUAAUGAUCAAAUUUUCUCCACUAACAACACCAACCCCGACUCCUCCUCUCACCAGUACCACCAUCAACCUCACUCCCACAACUCUUCCUCCGCCGCCACUGCCACUUACUACGACAAUCUUCUUCCUAAUUCCUCCGAUGACUUCACCGACAACCUCUACGUCCCCGUAAGCACUCUCACACUCCUUAUUAAUUCGACACCUAAAUAUGUUUUUUUUAUUUACUCAAUUCAUCUAAAAGUUGAAGGAAAUCCUGGCAAUAACUGCUAAAGUUAUUGUCACGUGACUUUUUCGAGUUCAACAUGAUAACAGUCUGCUAUAGAAAUGGAGGAUAGGACCGCGUAAAAUAUAUAGACCUUAUACACUUUUAUUAAGUAGAAUUUUCUCUUGUAUCAUAUAAGAUACACUUUUAUUUACUUCAUUAUUAAUUAUAUGCUUAACACGGACUAGCUUACAUCAAUUAUUGAGCAAUUUUACUGUAUUUUAAAAUCAAUUUCUUCCUGCUUUUUCAUUGCAGAGUGAUGAUGUAGCGGAGUUAGAAUGGCUAUCGAACUUUGUAGAAGAUUCAUUCAGCAAUUUUUCAGCCAAUUCCAUUACCGGAACGAUGAAUCUCAGUUCCAAUACUACGUCGUUUCACGGAAGGUCAAGAAGCAAACGUUCUCGUUCAACUUCAAGCUGGACAACCUCACUCCAAAACCCUAACACAACUACUACUACAAAGAACAAGGAGAGUUCAUCAGUACAUACCAGAGAAAGGUCAUUUUCGCCAAUGGAUGAAGAUGCACCAAGGAGAUGCACACACUGCGCUU